AGAGUAUACUAAAGUAGAGGAUAAAACAUAACAUGGCGAUCAAGGAGUUCGUGCCAAUUGUGGUGGCGGCGGUAUUGGAGGGAAGGCACUGGGAAGAGCGAUGGCACAUCAGGAGGCUCAGCGUCUUCCUGUCAGUAGUACCGAGAUGUUUGUCCGUAAUGGUUAGCCAAGUUCUCCAGAAGAACCUACAGGGUUGGACAGAAUAAGUAUAGAGACUUAUGUACAUUGUAUGGUAUUGUGAAUGGGUGUCAAAGUAAAUAAUGUAUAAUUAUGUGGUACAUG